GGUGAACGCUGGCGGCGUGCCUUAUACAUGCAAGUCGAGUGGGUUUAGACCCACGGCAAACGGGUGAGUAACCCGUAGGUACUUUCCUUGUCACAGGAAUAACCCUCCGAAAGGAGGGCUAAUACCUGAUGUGAUCGCAAGAUUAAAGGGUAUCCGCAAGGAUUACCGGACAAGAAGAGGCCUGCGGCCUAUCAGCUAGUUGGCGGGGUAAAUGCCCACCAAGGCUAUGACGGGUAGCUGGUCUUAUGAGGAUGAUCAGUCACAUGGGCACUGAGACACGGGCCCAACUCCUACGGGAGGCAGCAGUAGGGAAUUUUGCGCAAUGGGCGAAAGCCUGACGCAGCGACGCCGCGUGCGGGAUGAAGGCCUUCGGGUCGUAAACCGCUUUUAUAAGGGACGAACUUUGACGGUACCUGAUGAAUAAGAGGUUGCUAACUCUGUG
rnacentral:rRNA from 1 species